GGGAGUGUUGCCUAACGGAUAAGGCAACUGUCUUCUAAACAGUUUUAUGCAGGUAAUGCCUUCGGCAACGCUCCGCGAACGACUCCUGCCACUCUUG
rnacentral:tRNA from 1 species